CCAGUGACUCCAGUUGGUGAAAAGAAGUUAACAGAAAAAAAAUAAUCAAGCUUGUGGAAGCAUGAAAACCUAAACAAGAAAUCAGAAGAAAGAGCCACCUGCCGCGACACUUUGAUGGUGGCCAGUAAAGGCCGGCUCGGAUUUUAUUAGGAGAUUUUUAACGCUCCUGGGGAUGAUAAGGACCUAAUCCUGUUCUGUCCGCGCUGUGCUGGAAUGCCGCAAGACUGGGAUCAAGCUGUUUCAGUACAGUUGUGGCCAUAUGAUGCACCAGAGGUCAUGUGACAGCACACCAGGGCUCACUUCUACAUGCCCUGCCCAGCGGAGGAGCCUGCUAUCAACCCAGCCGCUAAAGUCCGACAUGCCGGCGUUCUGCUCUGAAACACCACAGACCCGGAGAGGUUAUUGCAGGCUGAGAGCGUCGGCCGGAGACAGCCGGUCCACCGCGUGGCCAAUCUGGGCCGUCUCACUCAUCUAUCUGUCCUGACGGAACAUGAAGAAUCUCCAGCAAUGCAUUGUGGGUUAGCGUGAGGAGCACAGCUUAAGCUCAGGGACUCUGAUCUGGGAAUUCAGCCCUCAGCCUGUUCCUGCUGGCCACCGGGACCCGAUGCCCUGGGGAAUGGGUGUGGAUUACCCUGGGGGGUAAACACCAUCAGUAUGGGGGGGGGGAGUCUCGCUGUGCGCUUAGAUACCUGUUAGUCAUGUGAUGCUGGCUUGGGGUCACGCUGGUGGGCCAUCCUGAUCGGGAGAUUCGGGACGUGAAGAUCAGCGUCCACCUGCACAGGUCGGUGAUUCUCUCCAAAAGUGCACAUAUCCACUUAUACUGGGAUGGGUUCCUGUUAGGAUUUAGGUUUGUAUGGGCAAGAAAAUGGAGAUUUUGAGGGGGAACAUGAUAAGAGGCAUGUGGGCCGGCCCCCCCGAUCGCUCAGCCUCGGGAAUGCCAUCCUUCAAAGAUCCGGAGAGGAGCCGCUCAGAAUCCGCCUUUGCGGGCCCCAAUUCA